rnacentral:lncRNA from 1 species
CUUUUCCUGAUCUUUUCUGUCAAAACAAACACCCUUUCUAUAAGGAAUAAGGCCAGACAUUGUAUAUUUUUAUAUUUAGGUCAAGGAAGCGAGAUUGAGAGAGGUUAAGUGUCUUGCCAAGUCUCACACUAAGUCGAACGAUGGGCUGGUGAGGCACAUUGAAAAAGAGAGUCAAUAAAGCAAGACUUCUUGGCAGCUGGGGACUCUGGGACUUCUUCCUGCCACAUAUGAACCACAAAUAGACGAGGACUAUAAGGGAGUUCAUUGGUUUGGAAGAAGGUACUCAAAGGUCUCAGGGGCUCACCCUUGGGGUAAAGACCUUUCUGACAACACAGCUUUGACUGGCAUGGCACUGGACUAAAAUCAAGAGACUCAAGAUCUACCCAUGGCUAAAGAGCUUACCAUUCACUGCCCUUGGUAAGUCAUGCUUCUUCCUUGAGCUGAGAUUAUUUCAGUAAGAUCAGGGGGGUAGAUCUGAUGACUUCCAGUUCACACCUACCUAGUAAAAG